rnacentral:tRNA from 2 species
GCGGAUGUGGUGGAAUUGGUAGACACGCCAGAUUUAGGUUCUGGUGCCGUAAGGCGUGGGAGUUCAAGUCUCCCCAUCCGCACCA